rnacentral:rRNA from 1 species
UACGUAGGUGGCAAGCGUUAUCCGGAAUUAUUGGGCGUAAAGCGCGCGCAGGUGGUUUCUUAAGUCUGAUGUGAAAGCCCACGGCUCAACCGUGGAGGGUCAUUGGAAACUGGGGGACUUGAGUGCAGAAGAGGAGAGUGGAAUUCCACGUGUAGCGGUGAAAUGCGUAGAGAUGUGGAGGAACACCAGUGGCGAAGGCGACUCUCUGGUCUGUAACUGACGCUGAGGAGCGAAAGCGUGGGGAGCGAACAGG